rnacentral:rRNA from 1 species
AGAGUUUGAUCCUGGCUCAGGAUGAACGCUGGCGGUAUGCUUUACACAUGCAAGUCGAACGAAAGUUUUUAACUUUAGUGGCGGACGGGUGAGUAACACGUGAGAAUUUGCCUUUAGGUGGGGAAUAACAGUUGGAAAUAACUGCUAAUGCCGCAUAUCAUU